rnacentral:rRNA from 1 species
UACGUAGGGGGCAAGCGUUGUCCGGAAUCAUUGGGCGUAAAGAGCGUGUAGGCGGCCAGGUAGGUCUGCUGUGAAAACUCGAGGCUUAACCUCGAGCUGUCGGCGGAAACCAUCUGGCUAGAGUCCGGAAGAGGAGAAUGGAAUUCCCGGUGUAGCGGUGAAAUGCGCAGAUAUCGGGAAGAACACCCGUGGCGAAGGCGGUUCUCUGGGACGGUACUGACGCUGAGACGCGAAAGCGUUGGGGAGCGAACAGG